rnacentral:rRNA from 1 species
GAGUUUGAUCCUGGCUCAGAACGAACGCUGGCGGCGUGCUUAACACAUGCAAGUCGAACGUGAUCCGGAGCUUGCUCCGGUGAAAGUGGCGCACGGGUGAGUGACGCGUGGAUAACCUGCCCUGGUAUCUGGGAUAACAUCUCGAAAGGGGUGCUAAUACCGGAUAAGCCCACGGACUCCUCGGAGUCUGCGGGAAAAGGUGGCCUCUAUUUAUAAGCUACCGUAUCAGGAUGGGUCCGCGUACCAUUAGCUAGUUGGUGGGGUAAUGGCCUACCAAGGCUACGAUGGUUAGCUGGUCUGAGAGGAUGAUCAGCCACACUGAACUGAGACACGGUCCAGACUCCUACGGGAGGCAGCAGUGGGGAAUUUUGCGCAAUGGGGGAAACCCUGACGCAGCAACGCCGCGUGAGUGAUGAAGGCUUUCGGGUCGUAAAGCUCUGUCAGAGGGGAAGAAAUGAAACGUGCUAAUAUCACGUUUUCUUGACGGUACCCUCAAAGGAAGCACCGGCUAACUCCGUGCCAGCAGCCGCGGUAAUACAAGKKYUYAYAMYRYRSSSMAMSMAUUUYCRMYCCMCCCCCCCYYGGU